CCUACGGGAGGCAGCAGUGAGGAAUAUUGGACAAUGGGCGCAAGCCUGAUCCAGCCAUGCCGCGUGCAGGAAGACGGUCCUAUGGAUUGUAAACUGCUUUUGUACAGGAAGAAACACUCCCUCGUGAGGGAGCUUGACGGUACUGUAAGAAUAAGGAUCGGCUAACUCCGUGCCAGCAGCCGCGGUAAUACGGAGGAUCCAAGCGUUAUCCGGAAUCAUUGGGUUUAAAGGGUCCGUAGGCGGUUUAAUAAGUCAGUGGUGAAAUCUGGUCGCUCAACGAUCAAACGGCCAUUGAUACUGUUAGACUUGAAUUAUUAGGAAGUAACUAGAAUAUGUAGUGUAGCGGUGAAAUGCUUAGAUAUUACAUGGAAUACCAAUUGCGAAGGCAGGUUACUACUAAUGGAUUGACGCUGAUGGACGAAAGCGUGGGGAGCGAACAGGAUUAGAUACCCUGGUAGUCCACGCCGUAAACGAUGGAUACUAGCUGUUCGGAGCAAUCUGAGUGGCUAAGCGAAAGUGAUAAGUAUCCCACCUGGGGAGUACGUUGCAAGAUGAAACUUAAGGAAUUGACGNNGAGAGNGCGAGAGAGAGAGGAGNGG
rnacentral:rRNA from 1 species